UUUAGGCCAACUUUUGUCUUCAUCACAACCGUUUGACCUUACCCAAACACCAUUCCUUCAUGUUCAACUGGACGUCAAAAGGAACCCAGAAUUUUUAGAGAUAGCACAGCAUCAGCAGCCUCAAAAGCGACUUGUUCGCGCCUCACACCAAGGUGUGAACGACGCUCCAAAGACGAAAGACGCGUCUCCUUGUUGGAAGUACGAUUUUGCGUAGAUUUUUCCCUCGAUUCCCGUUGCUGUCCUGUCCUCCCCAGCACGCAAAAUCAUCCUUGCGUCUUGGGAUUGAGCCGCGUGGCAUAGCAAGGAUGAUUGAAGCAUUUUGGGGCGUCGAUUCUCCUAAUCCUGUUCUAGAAUGGGAUGAUUUUCGGCAAAAAGGUUGUUCAUCCUAGAAUGAAGUUGGUCAUCUCCCUACUCAGCGAGUUCUCGAAAUGCUGCCCAGAAGAAGGUCAUAUUGGCUGGCAUGAUAAGGAAAGAGGUUUCGCCUAUUUAUAUUUUGUUGUUCUCCGUCACUGGCAUACGCUUAUCCCUUUUGAAAAUGUUUGUUCUUGAAUUAUCAAUGGAUGCAUUGGGUUUAUUCAAAGCCAUCUGAUCACAACUUGACCUUUGCUUGACUAUCUCAAAUAAGAAUCUCAACUUUUUUUAUUACGUCUUUCCAUCAUUUAAGGUCUCAAAAUAAGUUUUAAGACUGUUUCUACUCUUCACUUCUUGCUUUGCAUUGUUUGAAUAAAGUGCCUUAAUAUGUGAGUUUAAUAUUUGAGACUCCUUCUUGCACAUUUGAAUUAAAGUUCCUGUGCUAACUCAUUUCAUUUUAAUGUCGCAUGUAAAUUUGGCAUCGAGUUCACCAUGAACUCCCACUUCCCCUCACAUUGCGUUUUCGAGAGAGACUUAAAGGCUCAAAAUUCCUUUCAUUCGCGUCAAGCCCACGAUACUGGCGUAUAGAUCCAAAUGUCAAGAAUUGAAGAUAGUCGGGAAGUUGGGCCAAUAGAGGCCAAUUUAUUUAUUUAUUUAUUUUUUAUUGCAUUGUAUGUAUUUGGGGGGCAUAAGCCUGUAGUUGCUUUUAUAUUCUAUGUAUUUAUGUUGUAGUUCUUAUUGUUUAGAACUUAGGACAGGUACGAAAGGUCGAAAUGGGUCAAAACCCCAAAACAGGCGGGUUCGAAUUUCGGUCCAGGCAAACAGAACUCGGUUUGGACCCAA